AGACCGUUGGAACAGCGGAAUGUUCGCAGGACUUUCACUCCUGAGACAUCGGAUCAUCCCCGAUACGGUCUACCA
rnacentral:tRNA from 1 species